UACAGAGGUCCCAAGCGUUGUUCGGAUUCAUUGGGCGUAAAGGGCGCGUAGGCGGCCACCGCAAGUCGACUGUGAAAUCUCCGGGCUUAACUCGGAAAGGUCAGCCGAUACUGCGGGGCUAGAGUGCAGAAGGGGCAACUGGAAUUCUCGGUGUAGCGGUGAAAUGCGUAGAUAUCGAGAGGAACACCUGCGGCGAAGGCGGGUUGCUGGGCUGACACUGACGCUGAGGCGCGAAAGCUAGGGGAGCGAACGGG
rnacentral:rRNA from 1 species